GGAGUGCAUGUAAAAUGGUACGUACAACAUGUUUAUGUGAGCAACAUAUAUCUUGACAAGUAUACAACCAUAAAGGUGACAGCCAAUCUUAACCAUGACACUAUCAUAAAAAUGCGUGCCAAAAACUUAAUAUAACGUGUCUGAAAGGUGAUAAGAGCUCAGUUAAACCCGCCGAUGCUGGAAUCGCAAUAAUCAGCUCUCAUGUUUGCAGAUAUAAAACCACGGGCCACUACACUAUUUGAGAAUUCUUUGUCACUCACCAUCACGAAGGGCAACCUUUGCUGGCAAGGCAUGAAAGGUAGUUCAAUAUAUUAAAGAAAAAAGGAAAGAAUCAAGGAUGUCUCAGAAACAAAGAAAAGAUGGAGAUGAUACAUCUAUUGCAAAAACCAAGGAUGAAACUGC